rnacentral:lncRNA from 1 species
GUUGUUUUAUUUAGUCUGAACUGUCUUUACAUGCCUGACACCCCAUGACAGAAAUACUCUGAAGCUGUGUAUCUGGAUGGAGAACAAUGUUGACAGCACUGUCACUGAAUAUUACUCCCGAAAUACACAGCGUGUCAUUACUUUGAGUGUCUAUUCUUCAGUCGUUGAAGCCUCCUUGGUACAUUGAAGUUUGAAGAUUUGUACAUUAGCCAAUAGUAUCAAACAUAUCUUAAUCAUCUGAAGGCUGCAAAAAUGAUUCAGCAGAACAAUAACAACAACUACCCAUGCCUGGAGAUGUCUUGCUCCCCCAGGGAGGUGCUGCAGAAGUGCCAAAGAAGCGAUCUUCACUUCACAGGACGCUUGGAGCUUGGGGACAUGCCCUUAGUCAAGGGCCUUCGGGCCUGGGCUGCGUGCUCCAAGAACCGCGGGAGGGCAGCACCUCCCCCCAGGUCCCAAGAAACUUGCCCCAGGCCUACAGAUGGCUACCCAGUGGGACAGUGGGGCAGGCUGGGUUAUGGUCUGGGGCUACCGCUGGACUCCAACUAUGCCUCCAACCCCAGACAGACAGGCCUGGGGGCACUGGUGACUGUGGCAACAUUGAAGGCCUCUGAGGGAGGUGGUCAGACUCAGACAAGCUGUCUGUUCCUCAAGACGGAGGGUGGAAGGUGCCUCUACUCCACGGGCAGCCCAAGGCCCUGCACUCAAGGUCUAGCUCCUCAGUCCCCCUCCACGCUGGUGGGCAGCUGGCUGAGGGAUAAAGUGGGAGGGGUCAGGGACUCUUCCACAGUUGGGAAAAUGGGGGUGUGGGAUAUGGGAGGGGCCUCAGCGUUGUACCAGGUCAAAUCUAGGUCAGCCCGGAGGUGGAGGACGUCCUGCAAGCCUGUGGUUCCCAUCCAGGGGAGAGCACUCCAGAGCACGGAGGACUCUGGUGAGAGCACCCUGGAAGGGAGCCAGGAAAGCAGGGACAAAGGGGAGUUUCCCACAACUGGCCAGGACACUCUGAGUGGAAAACAAGACCGAGGGAGUACUAGAAGCCCCAAAUGCAGUCACGCUCAGACCAAGACCUGCACCCAGUGUCACGGGCGGAGAGGAGGACAGGAGAGCAGCGGGGGUCAGAGGGAAACUGCUUCUGUAUGUGAGCAGGAUCAGUCGAGCGGCGGUGUGGAGGGGAUUAAGGAGAAAGUCCAGGACAGGACUGGUCUCACCCGGUCAAAGCCCUGUGACUCCUCCCUGCCUCCAGACAACGCUGACCCAGAAAACUGCAGCAGUGACGUCGGGGACCAGGGAAAGCCAGACAGCCCACACGCACAGGAGGGGCUGCAUCCUGAAAACUCCCUCGACAAGGAGCACUUCCAGGACAAACUAUGCGAUACAGACAUCCAUACUGGAGGCAAGGAUGUGGCCAGUGGUGUCAUGAGACAUGUGGAAGACUUUGAUGGCUUGGUGGGUGCUGUGAUUGGGUUUGUGGAUCAUAUCAAGUCCACAAAGUGUGAUUCUGAGAGUCUAGGGGGGAAUGGGGGGAUAGCUGAGGGGGAGCUGCCCAAGAGGUGGAUCGAUGUUCAAACUUCAGAGAGACACUGCUGCUCUGAGAGAGGCUGCCUCAAAGACUGCUCCACUCAACCACCCAGACCAGCAGGGGGCAGCAUUUCAACUGCUACUGAUGAGACUGCCUAUGGUCAGAUAAAUCAGGAAAGUAAAUCAGAUAGUCAAUACAAUAAGCUUUGUGUGAAAUGUCUGCCAGAAGAAAAAUAUCCUGUGGCAGUGGAUAAAGAAGUAUUCCAUAAAUCUGUGCAUGGCCUCUGUGAGGGAGAGGAGGGAAUCCAGUCAACAGCAUCAGAAAUUAGGGAACUCUGUGGGGAGCAUGGAGAGAUACUGCCUGAGGUCAGGAGCACAGACAAUGAGACCAGGCUGGUAGGGGGAGACCUCACAUCCCAGAGAACUGAGCGAGGGCCUCGCUGGGCAACGGAGGAGCAUGAGUCCGAGCUCACAUGUAGAGAGGUGUUUACGGUGCUCACGGAAGAGAGGUGUUUUUCAGAUUUAUCAGCUACCCUGACUGAGGAGGCCGUAGGAGGGUGGAGGGAGGCAGGGGCUGGGCAGUUUAAUUCCCUUUUACGAGCCUCUGCUGCUGCUGGCCCUGCUACCUCUGUAACACACUCUCCGCCUAAUCCGGCCUCCUCAGGAGCCAUGACAACAGGCCUCCCUGCUCCAAAUGGGGGGCAGACAGACGCUGGAGGUUGGGCUCUGGUGCCUCUGCUACGGAGCCCAGGGGAGCAGGAGUGGAAGAGGGGCCGGGACGAGAGCAAGGUGGCCUCCAACGGUGGGUUCCUGGAUGGGGGGCCGGGGGCGGAGGAUGACUUUGGGCUUUUCAUGCAGGCAGAGGAGCAGCCGCCCUGGGACGACCGCUUCACUGCAUCACCCCUAGUGCCUUCUGGGAAAAGUGAGAGUGUUGCACUUGAAAACCAUUCCAUCACCAACGAGUCGACCCAUUGGACCUCAUGUUGGCCAGACCGCUCAUUCCAACCACCAGAGGAUGCCUGGACAGCCUUCCCAAAGGAUUCAGAGGGAGAGGGACAAGACACAAGAGGACAGUGGUGGCCCACAAAUGCUGUGGAGAAGACGAGGGGAAGAUUCUCUGCCAAGGGAAAUGUGGUAGGCCUUCAAAUCUUUCCUCAGAAGUGACUACAAAGUCCAGGAGUCAACUUCUUGCAUAUUCCUAUUUCCUAUAUCUCCAGGAAUACAUGGUCCAUGGGACUGACUGUAAAUGAUACAUACAAUCUUUUUCUUCAUCUUUCAUUUUUUCCAUCUGUCAGAACAAUGUGUUUGUGGAGUCCUUCCCGUCACUGUCUACUCCCCUGUAUGACCGUGAUGCUGUUCCCAUGCUCAGCCAGCUCCUCAGAGGCAUCUUGGAUCAUGAAAGCUCUGCAGAGGAUCAUGGGUAAGUGGGUCAAGAGACCACAAUGAUAUUUUAUUAAAAUCCAGCUCGGGGAAUGAUUUGGAAGUUUGAUCCUGCAUUAGCAGAAAAUCCGACUCGUAUUUCUUCUCAGCUUGCAUGUUUAAGUCCGUUGGAAGCAUAAUCUGGAAUCUUUAUAGUUCUACAAUUCAUGAAAUUGGAAUUAGCAUUCUGAGAUGGUGGUUAUAAAUAUUGCCAUCUAGUGGAAGAAAUGAUGACCUUCAAGAUAGCAUGAAAUGUCACCGCCACCCAACAAUGACCCUGCUGUAUCAGAGAUAAGCUGCAUGUCAGACAAUAUUUCAUGCACUGAAUCGGUAUUGGUUGAAUGAUAGAUUCACAAUGAUUUACUAGGCUUUGGUGUCAUUCAUAACUGUGGAGCUCAGUUGUUCCAUUCAUUUACAUAUCUUUGUUUGUCGCUGUAGCUUACUUGAUGGGUUCCAUGACCUGAAGAAGAUGUUUGGCUUGAAAUAUAAGAGGGCAAAUGCUGUUUCCCGUGGACGGCUUCUACAGUCGCUACAUUUGGGCCAGUAUGACACGGUGAGUGUCAUGUAGUCAGUGUAAUGCAUGGUUGAAUGUGAUAACAGGCCUGCUCUGUUUCCUGUUAUGGGGCAGAAAUGAUACAGCCUAAUCUUAUGUUACAGCCUUAACUUAAAAAGCUAUACUAUCACCAUGACAAAUGCUACAGCAUGUUCGAGCAAACUGAAUGUAUAAAUGGGUCAUUCGUCAUGUGGUCAUUUGACUGUUAUCUGCACUGGCACUCGGAUAACAAGCAAAUGGGAUCACGACUACAGUUCAUGUAAAUUUUUAGAAGAGUCAUCAUUUGUUCACGUCUGCAGGAAAAUAUGACUGGGCAUAGAGCAGCCAACUACAGUCCCUCUCUUGGCCUCCCCUCGUCCAGUCAGCAUGCACAGGCCUGUGGGAAGAGACGGUUAUCUUAUGAUGUCAACAAGAACAUCAUGGAAUAACCAAGAUUUCCACUUUCCCUGACUGUCAACAACACAUUGUCUUUACUAUGCCCUUCUAUGCCAAACCACUAAUGGGUCACGGUCUUCAUCUCCAUGGGGAGAAAUAACAAAAAAAUGUCACAAGAUUCAGAACUCAGAGGAUGGACCAGCUGACUAUAUGGUGACCCUUAAUAAUGCCCUGUUUUGCUUGACAUUUCCCUGGAGUUGGAUCAAUAGAUGCAUACCUGUGACUAAUUGGAUAAAAUGAAGCACAAAUGAUUAUUUUUGUCUCACAAAUAUUCCUAAAAUACAUGCAGAUGUUUACAUUCUUAUUAAUCUCAUUCUUUUAGGGACUCUAUGAAAUGUUAAAGUAAUUUGUUUGUCAGGAGAAGUGGAUGUCUAUACCCCUCCCCCUUCGUUCACUCCCACCCGCUUUCCCCCACACACACACGGACUUGGACACAAACACACACUGUCCUCUCCCAUCAUGUGGUCUGGCUCAACUGUGUGCCAGUGACAACUCUGGAGCAGAAUAUAUUCUGUUGGUUUAGCUAACAUUGGAGCUCACAUGGAUCACAGCUCCUUUUCUUAUUAUUUCAGUACAUAAUGACCAUGUUUACUGAAAUGAUUACCUUUUUAAAUUGGGGUGUUUCUGUCUGUCAGAAUUACGUUUUGUACUGGCUAAGAGAAAGUGUUAUUUUACCAGUACAAGUUUGUUUUAGAUCACAAAAAUGCAAUCAUGUCCUAUUAAGACUCCAUUUGUUUUUGUGGGGGCAACCCUGGGCAACUCAGUAGGUCUACAGAAAAUGUAUUUGAUGUUUGUCAUUUGUACAUAAUUCCAAGGGAAAAUACAGAUUUUUUUUCUGAGUGGUUCAAAUGGAUAAAAAAAAGAGAUUGUCAACUUGUUCAUUGAUGUAAUAAAAUGACACGGUGAUUGCGGUUUUCCAUCCUCAAAGCUUUUGCUAAUGUUGUUGCUGUGUCAUUUUUAGAAGUACCUAAAUGGUCAUCUUAUUUGCGUAUUUGACACAAUACUCACUAUAAACCAAAACAGCAAAAAAUAGUACUUCUACAGGCUACAUGUGUCAGUCAAUUAGAAUGGUGUACGGCGCUAGAAUGAAGUAUCACAGGUCAAAGGGAAACUGCACUGGCAAAUCAACACUUCCAAGUGACAUACAUUGAAUUAGCACACCAUUAC